GCUUCGGGGAGUUGCACGUAAACUUUGAUCCGAAGAUUUCCGAAUGAGGAAACUCACUUAGAGUAAUGUCUAAGUAUCAUUAAGUGAAUACAUAGCUUAAUGAGGGGAACUCAGGGAACUGAAACAUCUAAGUACCUGAAGGAAGAGAAAGAAAUUCGAUUCCGUAAGUAGCGGCGAGCGAACGCGGAUUAGCCCAAACCAAUAAAGUUUUCUUUAUUGGGGUUG
rnacentral:rRNA from 1 species